rnacentral:rRNA from 1 species
AUUGAACGCUGGCGGAAUGCUUUACACAUGCAAGUCGAACGGUAGAGGGGGCAACCCCUCGAGAGUGGCGAACGGGUGAGUAAUAUAUCGGAACGUGCCCAGUCGUGGGGGAUAACGUAGCGAAAGUUACGCUAAUACCGCAUACGAUCUAAGGAUGAAAGCGGGGGAUCGCAAGACCUCGCGCGAUUGGAGCGGCCGAUAUCCGAUUAGGUAGUUGGUGGGGUAAAGGAUCACCAAGCCAACGAUCGGUAGCUGGUCUGAGAGGACGACCGGCCACACUGGAACUGAGACACGGUCCAGACGCCUACGGGAGGCAGCAGUGGGGAAUUUUAGACAAUGGACGCAAGUCUGAUCCAGCCGUUCCGCGUGCAGGAUGAAGGCCCUCGGGUUGUAAACUGCUUUUGUACGGAACGAAAAGGUCUCUCUGAAUACGGGGGGCUCAUGACGGUACCGUAAGAAUAAGCACCGGCUAACUACGUGCCAGCCGCCGCAGUAA